UACAGAGGGUGCAAGCGUUGUUCGGAAUUAUUGGGCGUAAAGGGCGCGUAGGCGGUGCGGUAAGUCUGUAGUGAAAUCUCUGGGCUCAACUCAGAGUCUGCUGCAGAAACUGCCGUGCUUGAGUGUGGGAGAGGUGAGUGGAAUUCCCGGUGUAGCGGUGAAAUGCGCAGAUAUCAGGAGGAACACCGAUGGCGAAGGCAGGUCUCUGGGCCGAUACUGACGCUGAGGAGCGAAAGCGUGGGGGAGCAAACAGG
rnacentral:rRNA from 1 species